rnacentral:tRNA from 1 species
AAUAAGUUAGGAUAUAAAGUCUAAUGGGUUCAUACCUCGCAGGUUAAUCUUAUUA